AUUGAACGCUGGCGGCAUGCUUUACACAUGCAAGUCGAACGGUAACAGGCCGCAAGGUGCUGACGAGUGGCGAACGGGUGAGUAAUGCAUCGGAACGUGCCUAGUCGGGGGGGAUAACGCAGCGAAAGCUGCGCUAAUACCGCAUACGAUCGAUGGAUGAAAGGGGGGGACCGUAAGGCCUCGCGCGAGUGGAGCGGCCGAUGUCAGAUUAGGUAGUUGGUGGGGUAAAGGCUCACCAAGCCAACGAUCUGUAGCUGGUCUGAGAGGACGACCAGCCACACUGGGACUGAGACACGGCCCAGACUCCUACGGGAGGCAGCAGUGGGGAAUUUUGGACAAUGGGCGCAAGCCUGAUCCAGCAAUGCCGCGUGCAGGAAGAAGGCCUUCGGGUUGUAAACUGCUUUUGUACGGAACGAAAAGGCUCUGGAUAAUACCUGGGGCUCAUGACGGUACCGUAAGAAUAAGCACCGGCUAACUACGUGCCAGCCGCCGCGGUAAGAC
rnacentral:rRNA from 1 species